rnacentral:rRNA from 1 species
GAUGAACGCUGGCGGCGUGCCUAAUACAUGCAAGUCGAGCGAACGGACGAGAAGCUUGCUUCUCUGAUGUUAGCGGCGGACGUGUGUGUAACACGUGGAUAACCUCCCUAUAAGACUGGGAUAACUUCGGGACACCGGAGCUAACACCGGAUAAUAUUUUGAACCGCAUGGUUCAACAGUGAAAGACGGUCUUUCUGUAACUUAUAGCUGGAUCCGCGCUGCUUUAGCUAGUUGGUGAGGUAACGGCUUACCACGGCAACGAUGCAUAGCCGACCUGAGAGGGUGGGCGGCCACACUGGAACGGAGACACGGUCCAGAGUGCUACGGGAGGCAGCAGGAGGGAAUCGUCCGCAAUGGGCGAAAGCCUGACGGAGCAACGCCGCGUGAUGGAGGAAGGUCUUCGGAUCGGAAAACUCUGUUAUUAGGGAAGAACAUAUGUGUAAGUAACUGGGCACAUCUUGACGGUACCUAAUCAGAAAGCCACGGCUAACUACGUG